CUAAACUGGCGCCGCCUCGGUGCUCGCGCGUUUCACGCGCGGUUAAACGGGAAGCAGGGUGUGAGGUCCGCCAGGAUCGAGCCAACCUGCGCUGCCCCCGCAACGGUAAGCGAAGCGCAUCGCAUUCGAUGCAAGCCGUCCUCUUCGCGCACCGGCGGCUGGUCGUGAUCGACCGGCCGCCGGUGCGCGGCAAGCCACUGCGCAUUGCGCGGGAAGGCGAGGCGGCGAUUUCGCAGCCCGGAUACCGGCCGAGGCGGGGAGGCGGCUU
rnacentral:ncRNA from 20 species